GGCUCAACCGGGGAGGGUCAUUGGAAACUGGGAGACUUGAGUGCAGAAGAGGAGAGUGGAAUUCCAUGUGUAGCGGUGAAAUGCGUAGAUAUAUGGAGGAACACCAGUGGCGAAGGCGGCUCUCUGGUCUGUAACUGACGCUGAGGCUCGAAAGCGUGGGGAGCGAACAGGAUUAGAUACCCUGGUAGUCCACGCCGUAAACGAUGAGUGCUAAGUGUUGGAGGGUUUCCGCCCUUCAGUGCUGCAGCAAACGCAUUAAGCACUCCGCCUGGGGAGUACGACCGCAAGGUUGAAACUCAAAGGAAUUGACGGGGGCCCGCACAAGCGGUGGAGCAUGUGGUUUAAUUCGAAGCAACGCGAAGAACCUUACCAGGUCUUGACAUCCUUUGACCACUCUAGAGAUAGAGCUUCCCCUUCGGGGGCAAAGUGACAGGUGGUGCAUGGUUGUCGUCAGCUCGUGUCGUGAGAUGUUGGGUUAAGUCCCGCAACGAGCGCAACCCUUAUUGUUAGUUGCCAUCAUUUAGUUGGGCACUCUAGCGAGACUGCCGGUGACAAACCGGAGGAAGGUGGGGAUGACGUCAAAUCAUCAUGCCCCUUAUGACCUGGGCUACACACGUGCUACAAUGGGAAGUACAACGAGUUGCGAAGUCGCGAGGCUAAGCUAAUCUCUUAAAGCUUCUCUCAGUUCGGAUUGUAGGCUGCAACUCGCCUACAUGAAGCCGGAAUCGCUAGUAAUCGCGGAUCAGCACGCCGCGGUGAAUACGUUCCCGGGCCUUGUACACACCGCCCGUCACACCACGAGAGUUUGUAACACCCGAAGUCGGUGA
rnacentral:rRNA from 1 species